rnacentral:lncRNA from 1 species
AUCAUUUCAUUUCACAGAUAACAUCACUAUUUCCUAGUGAGUCUUCUUCUGAUUUGUUUGUUGUUACAUAUACUUAUUCUGGAUCACUUUGUAAUGUUGCUUUAUUUUUUCUUGUCAAGAGGUAAACGCAGCUACGGAUUCCAACCCUGUGUUUCCUAGCCUACAGCUCAGGCUUGUUGUCAUAGGUGAUAUCCCAAAGCUGGGCAAAUCAGAAACCAAAGCUCUGGAUUUUGAGAUUGCUCAACCACAGGGAACUGGCAAUGUGUUUUGGGAAGAGACCUCUUUCUUAAGCCACUAAGCACCAUCAAACACGUGUUGAGCUGUGGCAUUGAAAAAAAACCCAAAGGCGGAUGCCUGUGACCUCCGUGAACAGCAGCAAGAUGGAUCACGAUCUCCCACGGGGAGGAGAACCUCACAAGAACAGCAGCUAUCUCUAUACCUGCCUGAAUGUGUGGAAAGAACAACAGCAAGAAGUUUAUUCACUGAACCCGAGGAGCCAAGUCGCGUCAGGUGGUGACAGAAACCUUCUCCAGACCUCCUCACACAAAUGACAUCCCACAAGCUCCCUCACUUCCACCUCUCAAUUUUCCAUGUUGUGUAGAGCUGUAAUAGGGAAUAGGAAAAUGAGAAAUGAUGCAAAAUCUCCAACCCUGAUCUUGCUGGCCAAAGAGAAAUUUUUCCAAGCCACCAGCCAUACCUAGUACAGAUAUGCCUGGACCUGGUGAACCUGUAUCCCCAUCCCAUCCACGCUGCUAUUCAAUCAAUAUUCCUGGUAAAAUCCUCAGGGGGUUACAGCGUCCCUGACCUGUGUUGCCAUGAGGUGCACACCACAGCCGUGACCCACAUGGGGAGCUCCCCAGUGCCUCUGGGAAAGCCAUCACCUCCCUCCUUCCAUCACAGCCCAUGCUCGAGUGUACAAAAGCUACGUCUUCUUUUUGCCUAUUUCUAGUCACCUGGAGGCCACAAUGUGCUGCCUGUAUUUAGUGAAAAAAUAAAACUGUCCUCAUCAUGCUCCA